AUGUAACACAGUUUAUAUAGGCGGUAAAAGAUUUUUUAAGGCCCCCCCUAUGACAAUCGAAGCAGCCCUGACAAGAAAAACGAGAUAGUGUGCGGUUGAUCGGUCAUGCAAUCUGUCAAAUUUUCAAAAAAUACAGUUUGUUUACAUUUUGAACCGAACGAUAGCUCUCACGAUGUACAACGGCGAAUGAUUAAAAAAAGGCUACUUCGGUGAUGAAAAUGUUGUGUGUAAUGUGUACAAUAAACAGCCUAAAAAUUAUAAAUGGUGGUAGAAUCGACUUCGCACGCCUGAAAGCCGUUUAGGCUGUUGUGCAACCGUGUUGAGCCGGCGAUAGUUAGAAAGAGGGAAGAAAGAAUGCCCGCAAUCAAACUAAACGAUGUUUGAUCAUGGAAAACAAGUUAAAAAGCAUACAAAGCUCGCUCGCCGUUGGACGCUUGGACAAUUACUUUUACAAUCAUUCGGUGAUCAGUUUGCGAAACGUCUUGCCGCACGCCUGGUACAGGCCCUUCUUGUCCGCGUCGGUAUCGAUCGUGGACUGAUCGUUCGGCAGCGUCAGCAUCAUCACCUUCAUCUGCGGGUAGUUGUGGUACGGCACAGUUCCGGUCGCCAUCUCGAUCGCGGUAAUGCCGAACGACUAGAAGCCGUAUCCGUGGUCCCGCUCCAUCUCCUCCGGCGCCAUCCAGCACGACGUGCCGAUAAACGUGUGGUACACCUUCUGCCGCGACAUGUCUCCAUCGGUGGCGAGCCACGCGCUCAUCCGCUAUAUUUAAGGAGCCGUCGUCGCCGGGCAGUAUGAUGGCCACCUUGAUGUCCACGUAAUGAGCAAUGCGAAAUGUGCACUCAAUUGGCAAGCGCACAGCAAGAUCCAGCAAACGUUACCGACAGUCUUUGUCGCCGUGAAAAUGCUUCUAAUGCACGGGUGAGUUGCAUUAUAACUACAAGCAUACGUUUUUUUUCCUUUCUUUAGUUUCAGCUAAUGCCAGACGAACGAUCGAAUGACUGUUGCUUCGGAAGGGAGGUCGUAUUACAGAUAGCGGUGUAGUGUUGUGAUAUAGUGAUUGUGUGUACAUUUAAGGUGUAAAGGGUGAUUAAUGCUAGUAACGUUGUGUAAUGUUAUGCAGAACAAAAUGCAGCAUAAAUGGCGAUGAGCCAGCAUUGUUCUAAGGUGCCGGAUGUUAUACGUUAGAGCCGUUCUUUGUGGUGUGAUGUGUUAACCACCUUGCUGCCAGUUAUUAGGAUUAGGAUUAAACCAGUAUUAGGAUUAGGAUAUAAUUAGGAUUUAAACCAGUGCCGUUGAAUAAAAUGGUGUACAACAGGUUAGAAAACAUUCGGUGUAUUUUGUUUUGUUUUUUUAAAGCUCUUUCGAUUACCUAUUACGGAAGCAAAUAUGUUUCACUAAUGUGCAAAAGGUAAGGAAUUAGUGAUCGCGUUGGUAGGUAAUUGCUCGUUUACGGUGUUUCUCCAUUUGUAUUUAUUGUUUCUCGCCCGCUGUGUUUGCUUCCCCAUUUCUCAUAAUGGUGCGUACGUUUCAUUAACAAUGUGCAUUAGAUGGUGAUGUUACAUGAUAAGUAAAUGUUGAGCGUGUUGGCGGGUUUAAAAAAAAUAUUUUACUUGUCCUGCUCCGUUGGUUGUCUGGUUGUCUGGCUGGCUGGCUGGCUGGCUGGUUGGAUGGCAGAAUGGCUCACUGGCUGGUUAGUGCAGACUAUGAUCGGAUGCGCAUUUCCCUACGCCGCAGUGCCGGGUGCAUCAUACGUCGGUGUUGGGUUGCUGUUACUGGGCCGAGCGGAUGCGCGUGCACACGUGGGAAUAAACGACACGCAACCGUAUUUUAUAUUGCAUCGGUACGAUUAUCGUGUUCAAAGGCUUUUUCGA